UACGGUGAAUACGUUCCCGGACCUUGUACACACCGCCCGUCAAGCCAUGGAAGCUGGGUGUACCUAAAGUCGGAUAACCGUAAGGAGUCGCCUAGGGUAAAACUAGUAACUGGGGCU
rnacentral:rRNA from 1 species